GACGAACGCUGGCGGCGUGCUUAACACAUGCAAGUCGAACGGAAAGGCCCUGCUUUUGUGGGGUGCUCGAGUGGCGAACGGGUGAGUAACACGUGAGUAACCUGCCCUUGACUUUGGGAUAACUUCAGGAAACUGGGGCUAAUACCGGAUAGGAGCUCCUGCUGCAUGGUGGGGGUUGGAAAGUUUCGGCGGUUGGGGAUGGACUCGCGGCUUAUCAGCUUGUUGGUGGGGUAGUGGCUUACCAAGGCUUUGACGGGUAGCCGGCCUGAGAGGGUGACCGGCCACAAUGGGACUGAGAGACGGCGCAGACUCCUACGGGGGGCAGCAGUGGGGAAUAUUGCACAAUGGGCGGAAGCCUGAGGCAGCAACGCCGCGUGCGGGAUGACGUCCUUCGGGUUGUAAACCGCUUUCGCCUGUGACGAAGCGUGAGUGACGGUAAUGGGUAAAGAAGCACCGGCUAACUACGUG
rnacentral:rRNA from 1 species